GAUGAACGCUGGCGGCGUGCCUAAUACAUGCAAGUCGAGCGAACGGACGAGAAGCUUGCUUCUCUGAUGUUAGCGGCGGACGGGUGAGUAACACGUGGAUAACCUACCUAUAAGACUGGGAUAACUUCGGGAAACCGGAGCUAAUACCGGAUAAUAUUUUGAACCGCAUGGUUCAAAAGUGAAAGACGGUCUUGCUGUCACUUAUAGAUGGAUCCGCGCUGCAUUAGCUAGUUGGUAAGGUAACGGCUUACCAAGGCAACAAUGCAUAGCCGACCUGAGAGGGUGAUCGGCCACACUGGAACUGAGACACGGUCCAGACUCCUACGGGAGGCAGCAGUAGGGAAUCUUCCGCAAUGGGCGAAAGCCUGACGGAGCAACGCCGCGUGAGUGAUGAAGGUCUUCGGAUCUUAAAACUCUGUUAUUAGGGAAGAACAUAUGUGUAAGUAACUGUGCACAUCUUGACGGUACCUAAUCAGAAAGCCACGGCUAACUACGUG
rnacentral:rRNA from 1 species